rnacentral:rRNA from 1 species
GAUGCCGGGGAUAAGAGUGCGCGUCGCCGGUAAAACAGCGACGGAGACUAGAAUGUGUCCGCGUUUAGUGGGUCUAUUCUGGUAAGCAGGAUUGAUAAUGAGGGAUGAACCUAACGUUGUGUUAAGGGGCCAAAGGGACAGCUAUUUCUCGAAACCAUUGGAAAGGCGUUGCUUGCUGAAGACAGCAGGACGGUGGUCAUGGAAGUUGACAUCCGCUAAGAAGUGUGUAACAACUUAUCCUGCCGAAGCGAGUAACCCUUAAAAUGUAUGGCUCUAAAGCUCUCUCCCGAUGCACGACCGUCACUGGCAAAAUGACUCUCACAAGUCUCGAUGCCGUGACGAGUAGGACGGUGUACCGGUGCGCGUCGAAGGCCUUAGGGUGACCUGGGUUGGAGCCGCCGGUAAUACAGAUCUUGGUGGUAGUAGCAAGUACUCUGGUUGAUAACCUUGAGCUAUGAGGUUGAUAAGGGUUUCAUGCCAACAGCGUUUGUACAUGAGUAAGCCGAUCCUAAGCCAACCUAUACCUAGGUAUGGGGGCGAGCGCAACAGGUAACUCAAGGUAUACACUACUAUGAUGACAUGUUUGACGACAUACAUAGAGGUGGUAUCGGUGUGUGAUGAUUGUUGUGGUGCUGGUGUUGGUGUUCUAUAAACACGUCUAGUACGUGUGGGUGUUAUGCAGCUGCUGCUUCUGUUAUACUCUUAUUAGAGAAAGAGAUAGUGUGAUGAACGCGAAGAAUGAUUAAUUUCAUUCGACGAAACCAACCGCUAUACUCGACUAUCGAACAGGUUAAACUAAGUAGUAGUAGUAUCAAUGCAUAUGUACACACUCACAUAAAGUCGUGGUGAGUGAGCACCUAAAUACACGCAAGACACUCACGUUAUCUCGCACUAGUACUGAAAUGCCUCUCGUGUCUUAAAGCUAACUAUCAGAAGAGUUUGCUUGUUGUUAACGCCUGGCGAAAGGGAACCAUGGACUUAGUUCAUGGGCCUCUCUUGGUUCCUUGGUGCGUCGCCGUAUCACGAACUUAGCAACAGCUUGUAGCUAAGCCAUCGCAGUCUCUUGUCGCGUGAUGGGGAGAUGUCUCCUCUCAUUAAUCGAACCUCUGGAGCCUGUUAAGCGCCUUGAGAGGAGCUAGGGUCUAUGUUCGUGAGAAGAGUAAUUUCUCUCCCCAAUCAUAUCAAUGUCUCAAGAGAUCCGUGAAAAGGUGGCCGAGGGAAUAGUCUCUUCGAACUUUUCUACCCAAGUUCUUAGAGAUUGCCAAGAGUGUACGUACCCGAGUCCGCAUCCGGUCUCAAAGGUUAUCAGCCUCUGUGGAGUCUGUCAC